CCAAAAUUUGCUCAUUUAUUUUCUUUACAUUAAGAUCUCUGGUUCUUACCAGUGGGUCAUUUCAAACUCUAUCUCUGCUUCCCCCAGCUAGGGAUAGAAAGCCACUAUUACAGACAGGGGCUGCAUCCUUCAGGUGCUUUCUGCAGAAAUGAGCUCAAUAACCACUGAAGACAGAUGUUAAUGAUGUCUGUUUUAAGGCAAAUUAUUUGGAGACGAGGGUAACCAAGUGGAGCUGAAUGACACUGGAUGGUAAUAACUUAAUUUGCCUCAGUGACAGUUCAUCAGGUCCUUUCACUUCCAUUUUCUCAUCUGACCAUCAUGACCUUAUGGUGUAAGUAAAAAUGAUUACUUCCCUUUUUUCUUUUCUUCAGAGGGGAAAUCUGGGUUUGGAGCAGCUAUACCAUAUAUCUAAGGUCAAACACCUAAGAGGAACUUUUAACUUGGGUCAUUUAAGUGCAAGUGCCUUGUUUUCGCCAUUUUGCCAAGGACAUGGGGCUCAAGUUUGGGUGUGCACCUGGCUUGCAGCAGAACUGGCUGGGAUGGCUUCAUAACUUCCCUUCUAACAAUAUAACAAUAUGCUUCUGUAAAUUUUCACACUGAAUUGGACAAGAAUCAGAAUAUCCUGUUUUGAACAUCUGCACAGAUUGACAAGUGCCAAGACUGAGGCUCAGAGAAAUGAAAUAACAUGCCAAAGGUCACAGUGUCUAGUGGAGCUGGGGCCAAAUUCAGGUUCGCGUGAUUAAUAACACACAGGAAAAACCCUCAACUUCUUUCAUUCGCCUGUUGAGAUAAAGGGAAAGAGAGUCCCCAUCCAGGCCUGCAGGAGAGGGAGAACUGGUGGAUGCAAAUGAAAAAGCAGAGGCAUUCCUCAGCUCUUUUAUCCCAGAGAUUAUAGUGCUGGAGUUGGAAGAAGAUGGGAGAAACAUAUGAGGAGAGAAGGAAGUCGAGCUCAUACCAUGAUGAAGAAGAUAACUCCUGAAGAUUGGGAAGGGCACUGGCUGGCUCUCAAAGAUGGACAAAUGGCUUUACGACGCUUAAGGGGAUGCUCUGUGGAGUCUGCUUGGGUGCAAAUCACCACCAUGACACACUACCCAUGGUACCGUUUUUCAGCCCCAGCCAUCACUUCAUCCUUUGCUCUGUAGCUUUCUUCAUUUGUUGGGAGAGAGGCUAUUCUUUUACUUGAACUUAGUGGGAGCUCAUUUUGCAAAGAUACAUGCUUCACCAUCCCCUGAAAGAUUUAUAUAGAAGGACACUGUGGCAACAUGUGACCUUUUGAAACUGCUCCCUUGGAAGGAAUUCUAAUGUCCUCCUGUCUAUGUUACCUGCUGUGUACCUACCACUGGGGAAAGAUGCUGAAAAUUUAAUGAAUUGCAGAAAAGCUGUGCAAGCUUCUCUUUUGGAAGAACCUUGGAGAAGAGAGAGGCUGACAGAAAGAAAACUUUCAAAGAAAUUACACUGCCCUCAAGGGUGGCAUCUACAGAGGACAGUGACAGGGCCUUGGAGACGUAUGAUUUCUUCUGCUGCUCAUUUACCUAGGUCUGUUUUCACUCUGGUGACUGGCCACAAUCAUGGGAAAAGUGAAGAAAUCUGAUAACUAUCAAGGUACAAAUUGCUAGAGAAAGAAAAUCGGGACUCUUACAACUAAGGGCUAAUUGAUGUGGAGAUGGAAGGUUUGUGGUGCUAUGUUUUGCAUGUGCCUCUGUGUGUGUUUGUGUGUGUAUAUAUAGGAGGGUAGGAGGUAGAAGAAUUCACAGUACAACCUAAUAAUCUGGGCCAUGGACCCAGCCAAAGAAGCGGGGACAGGGGUUGAAUGGAGAAGCACAUGGGACCAGAUGUACAAUGUAUCUGGAAAACAGACACAUAUACCGCAUCCAGGGAAUAACUGCAAACAGUCAAAUAACAUAUUUUGUAUUCAACCACUGACACAGAAAUUCAUGCACAAUGUAUUUUAUUUUUUAGUGGAAGAGAGAGAACUAUGCCACCCCUUUAAGGUAUGAUGCCAUUCUUAGAAAUAAAUAUUCGUAUAGAGAAAACUAUCUGAAAGGAUAGAUGUCAAAAUGUUUACAUAAGAGAUUAUUUCCGGAUGUAAGAAUUAGAGGGGAAUUUUAUAUUUUUUAUUUUUUGUGUAUGUACAGUUUCUAAUUUUCCUACAUUUAGUAUGUAAAAAGGAAAAAAAAGUAGCACAUUUUUAGAAAAGAAUUCUAAAUUUCUUUUAUAAAUAUCACUAAGGAAACAGAUUUGAUUUGGGCAAAGGGAAGAAGAGAUUAGAAUAGGGGUUGGCAAACUACGACCCUCUGAGCUAAAUCUGGCCUGCCACCUGUUUUUGUAAAUAAAGUUUCAUUGGAAUACAACCACUUCUUUCAUUUAUAUACUACAAACAUGGAGUUUAGCAGUUGUGACAAAGACCCUACGACCUACAAAGCCAAAUGGCUCUCCUAUCUGGUCCUUUACAAAAAAAGUUUGCCUAAACCCAGUUUAGAAGAAUCCUCCUAAUAUGGUCUUACCUAUUUUACCUUACUAGUUGUGUGAGCUUAGGGAAGUCAUAACUUUCACACCUCAGGUUCCUCAUGUGUAAUGAGAUGGAUAACACAUCUUAGACAUUUUAUGAAAAUUAAAUGAUUUAAUACAUAAAUGGUGCUAAACACUGUGUUUGGCAUAUAGUAGAUGCUCAAUAAAUAUUAUGCUCCUACUUAUUUUCUACUUCCUUUAAAUAAAAUGCAUUAUUCUGAUUUCAUGGCAAAUCUAAUGAAACUGCCAUUUUUGCUAGUCAAAAUUGUUCAAUAUUGGCAAUUUUAUAUGGCUCAAUGUAAUCAUACUUUAGCCAUUUACUAUUCUCAUUGCUCUUGUUUAAGUUGUAAUUGCUGAGCUUGUAUCUAUCAAUGUCACCAAGGUAGUUUUAGGGUUAGCUAAAUUGCCACAAACGGCUGGAAACCAAAAUCUAUUAAUAGCAUUGUUCUAUCCAAAUGUGGACACUUUGGGUGUAUGAAACAAAACACUGUAUUUGUAUUUCACUUUGUUACUUGUGUAACACAGGGAAAUCUGCAUUCAAUGCACCUAUGGUGUGACAGAUUAGGGCCUCUUUCCUGCUGCCCUAAAUAGAAGCUUUUUAGAUAAAGGAUAUUUGCUUCCACCCUACAAAACAGCACCUGACUUAAAUUUCAGCAGACUCAGUGAGCUUUCACAGCACUGCGACAAUCACUCUUGGCACUGAGCAAAGUUCUGACACAGUCUACCACAACAUCCUGGGAAGAACUGCUGAAGGGAACAUGGGGCUCAGGAUGCUACAAAAUUUGGAGACUGUCAUUCAAUCGCACUUGAAGAUGAUAUUCUGGGGCUUAGUGCAGAUCCAAAAUAGGAGUUCUUUAAAAAAGUAAAAUGGGGUUUCUCCAAGAACAAGACAGGAAGACCGACUGGAACAUCAAUGGAAUGUAAGUGUAAGAAGUUGCAGAUAGGGAAGUAUAGGAUGAGCUUCAUGAAAAGGAGGCAAAAUCAGGAAACUGAAAGACUAAUCAAAGUAUUCUUAUCAACAGAAAUGAAGAAAGGCUUUUAGUUCAGUGCUAAGACUAUCAAAGGAAGAACAAACCCAAUUUAAUCCAAUCAACACUUAUUAAAUGCCUACUUUAUGCCAGGCACUGGGUUAACACAGCUAGAGAUAGUAAGAUAAAUCAGACACAAUUUCUACCUUAGAGAAGUUUCUGGGCUGGUGGGAGGGAGAUAAACAUGGAACCAAAUAACUUUAAUAUCGUGAUAAAUGUUAUAAUACUAACAAUAAUAGCUGUCAUUUAUUAAUUGUGUAAAAUGUAAAGCAAACACAGAAUGGAAAAAUUAGUUUUGCUUGGAGAGGUCCAGAGAGGGUAGGGAGGAGGGGAAUAAUUACAGUCAGCACCUGAAAAUGACCAAAAGUUCACGAAGCUAAUACUGAGGCAAGAAUGAGAGUGAUGUGCUGUGGUUUCAGGACAGGAUGGAUUGUUGUAAUGGUUAAAAUGAAGCUGACGAAAAACCUCAUAAGCCAAACUUAGGAAUUGUGACGUUAUUCAGUAGGCAUUAAUUCUCAAUAAGCAGGAAGCAGUUUGGUUCAGUCCGGUUUAAAAAAGACAAGAGAAUACUUUCCUAGAGAGCCAUGAGGCAGGAUCAUAGGAAGAAGAGAGACUAAAUGGUUCUGUCUGUGAAAAUUUAGACCAGAAAAGUGGCAGUAAGAAGAGAGAAGAGGAGAUGGAUACAGGAUGCAGCAUGUCUUCAAACUGAAAUGCAAAAGUGGAGGGAGACAUUCUGAAGACCCAGAGGAGAAACAGAUGAAAAGAACUGUGGUGUGGGAGGAGCAAGGGACGGUAGGCAAGGAGAAGACCACAGUUAGGUCACUGGCCUUGGGAAAGGGAACAUCUUUUUUUCCUCGACCAGCCUGGGCAACACGGUGAAAACCUGCCUCUACAAAUAAAAAUACAAAAAAAUUUGGCCAAGUGUGGUAGUGUGCGCCUGUAGUCCCAGGUACUCGGGAGGCUGUGUGUGGAGGCUCUGGGGCUUGUGCCCAGGGUAUCGAGGCUGCAGUGAGCCGUGAUGUCACAUGUCACGUCUCAUUAAAGGGUAUUGAAUGAUACCCAAGAGAGGAAAAAUCUGAUUUCCUUAGCCUGGCCCUCAAAGCAUUCUGUAAUGUAGCUCACAACCUAUUCUUCUGAUCCAUUUUCACCUCCUUUAUUCUUCCCUCCUGAGGGUAUAGAUACCCAAAUGUCUUCGGGACUCAGGCGGGUAACACACAAGGGGGUGAAGUGGCAGGGUCUGAGGCCCUGAAGUGGUGAGUCCAUGGCUCACAGGACGUUAUAUUUUCUUUUUAAAUUCACUGAGAGGCAAACAACAUAUAUACACACAGAGAUUUUAGAAGUUUAACGUUUAUCUUGAGAGGCUUUACCUUCUAAAAUUCUACACAGCAUCAAUCCAGCCUUCUCUAAGCAGACUUCCCAGUCAACCAGGCUUAUAGACAAGAGUUC
rnacentral:lncRNA from 1 species